AGUGUAUUAGAAUAAGACCUAGGUUAACUGGAAUUCAAGUUCCUAGUGCUGGAUCCAAUUUAUCAGUUCUGCUUGGGGUAAGCAAUAAUAGCCACAAGCAGCAGGACAUGGCCCUGAACUUUAUUACAGGUCUCAGAGGGAACCUGAGACUUGGGGCGCUUUUUCAUUGUGCAUCUUGGAGAAAGAAGGAGAAGGCUGAGAGGAAGAAUCAUCAAAACCAUUAGAUGAAAGUGCGUGUGGCAGCAGAAAGUGAUGUGACACACUGAGCCCUGAAUUAAAGGAACUGUUCUAGAAUUAAAGGAGAUAAAAAAGGCCAGACAACUAAAUGUUUGAAGGCCUUCAAAAUUAAAAAAAAAAGAAAAGAAAAAAAGAGAAAAAAAGAAUCAAGGCCAAAAAUGUGACCUGCCAUAGUGUGGAAUAUACAUGUACAGUGUGUACCCCAGCUGUCUGUUAAGAAAUGCCUGAACUCAUAGUGAGAGCUGCCUUGCGAGGUGAUUACCGUUAUUCAACUUAAUUCACAGUGAAGAAACUAAAAGCUCAAAGAGCCUCCCACUGAGCUGAUCUGAGGAAGGAAUUUCCUUUGAAGUCCCUUGUCUCCAUGCUUUUUGAUAAACAACACAGAGG